rnacentral:lncRNA from 1 species
GAGCCCACCGAGAUUUCUACUUUGACCGAGUGGCCGUGCCUUGCUGCCACUUGGCCGCGCCUGCCCCUAACUCAGCAACAUCCGCGUCGCCCUCGUUUCCCCAAGCUCGACACCCGCAAGUCACGAAUCCAGCUUCAACCGAGCAGCUGCCAACACCACCGAUCGAGGCCAGCAGUCCAGCGAAGCUUAGUCCAGCGAAGAAACUUCUCGGCCAAGCAAUCUUCGAGAUGUCCAGUAGUCCAAGUCGUUAGCCAUCUUAGCUCAAGUGGGCCUAGAAAAUCCGUGAAAGUCAGUCAAGCAACCCGUAAAUUGAAGCCCAUGAAGUUGCAGCUCAAUUGAGGCCCAAGUGAAUUUCGCAAGCCCAAUUUCCAGCAAAUCACUUGAAGUCCAGCCCACAACUUGAAGCCCAUUUUCAGCAGGCCCAACUUUAUUUGGGUCCAGCCCAAAAGCAGGAACAAAUCUCAGUUGGGCUGAGAUUUGUUGGGCCAAGUCCAAGGCCCAGUCCAAGCCCGCCGGUGU